rnacentral:rRNA from 1 species
GACGAACGCUGGCGGCGGGCUUAACACAUGCAAGUCGAACGGAAAGGCCCUGCUUUUGCGGGGUGCUCGAGUGGCGAACGGGUGAGUAACACGUGAGUAACCUGCCCUUGACUUUGGGAUAACUUCAGGAAACUGGGGCUAAUACCGGAUAGGAGCUCCUGCUGCAUGGUGGGGGCUGGAAAUUUUCGGCGGUUGGGGAUGGACUCGCGGCUUAUCAGCUUGUCGUUGGGGUAGUGGCUUACCAAGGCUUUGACGGGUAGCCGGCCUGAGAGGGUGACCGGCCACAUUGGGACUGGGAUGCGGCCCAGACUCCUACGGGAGGCAGCAGUGGGGAAUAUUGCACAAUGGGCUGAAGCCUGAUGCAGCAACGCCGCGUGCGGGAUGACAGCCUUCGGGUUGUAAACCACUUUCGCCUGUGACGAAACGUGAGUGACGGUAAUGGGUAAAGAAGCACCGGCUAACUACGUG